rnacentral:lncRNA from 1 species
AUGAGGCUGUGUCUCUGCCUCCAGGUGCUGAUACUGGACGAGCCCACCUCGGGCAUGGAUGCCAUCUCCAGGAGGGCCAUCUGGGACCUUCUGCAACAGCAGAAAAGUAACCGCACCAUCUUGCUGACCACCCACUUCAUGGACGAGGCUGACCUGCUGGGAGACCGCAUCGCCAUCAUGGCCAAGGGGGAGCUGCAGUGCUGCGGGUCCUCACUGUUCCUCAAGCAGAAAUACAGUGCAGGAUAUUAUAUAACUUCACUGAAAAAACCUAAUUGUGAUAUGGAGAACAUCUCUCAUCUGAUUUAUCAUCACAUACCAAACGCAAUUUUGGCAUCCAGCAUUGGAGAGGAAUUGACAUUCAUACUUCCUAAAGACAGCGUACAGAGGUUUGAAUCUCUGUUUACUGACUUGGAACUGAGACAGGUAGACCUGGGCAUCUCCAGCUUUGGGGCCUCUGUCACCGCCAUGGAGGAUGUCUUCAUAAGCCGCACUUAACAGAAUUCCUGUUGACAGAAGUAAACAUCUUCAUUCAAGGAUCUUCUUAAUACAGACUGGGCUGCCAAUCAGACCAAACGCUGGGGUAAGUAACAUAUUCCAAAUGUAUGUAAGAAAGCACAUAUUGGUUUAACUCUUGGAAAUAUGCUGUCAUUCUGUCAAGAAGUAACAUCAGCCUUUUACAGGGGCUUAAGAAAAAAUGUGCAUAUUUUAGGCAUAAAAGAUUGACUGCCAAGUUUUAGCACUAUCACAGUCUCUGCUCUAGUUCAAAGGCGAAGGGUGAUGGUCUGUAUAGGAUUAACCCAAUGUAAGAAGGAAUCAUAAAAGAUUAUAGUAGAG